rfam:Pristionchus pacificus strain PS312 contig9083, whole genome shotgun sequence.
CCAACGGCCCUCUUUAGGGCCACAAUCAUAUUUCAAACCAAGUUG